GACGAACGCUGGCGGCGUGCUUAACACAUGCAAGUCGAACGAUGAACUUGGAGCUUGCUCUGGGGGAUUAGUGGCGAACGGGUGAGUAACACGUGAGUAACCUGCCCUGGACUCUGGGAUAACUUCGAGAAAUCGGAGCUAAUACCGGAUAGGACCUUGCACCGCAUGGUGUGGGGUGGAAAGUUUUUCGGUUUGGGAUGGACUCGCGGCCUAUCAGCUAGUUGGUGAGGUAAUGGCUCACCAAGGCGUCGACGGGUAGCCGGCCUGAGAGGGUGACCGGCCACACUGGGACGGAGACACGGCCCAGACUCCUACGGGAGGCAGCAGUGGGGAAUAUUGCACAAUGGGCGCAAGCCCGAUGCAGCAACGCCGCGUGCGGGAUGACGGCCUUCGGGUUGUAAACCGCUUUUAGUAGGGAAGAAGCGAAAGUGACGGUACCUGCAGAAAAAGCACCGGCUAACUACGUGCCAGCCGCCGCGGUAAGAC
rnacentral:rRNA from 1 species